AGCUUUGCGCAGUGACAUUACCGUAGCCGAUGAGGUCCAUCCGAGGCGCGAUUAUUGCUGAUUGAAAACUUUUCCCAAUACCCCGCGAGACGACUUGAAACAUAGUCGGCUUUGCAAUUUUUGUGGGCCCUGCUUAGGG
rnacentral:snRNA from 2 species